rnacentral:misc_RNA from 1 species
AGGAGAAGCUGACAAUGUAUCUGGAGGAUACUUCCAUUUUUGUGAAACGGUGCGCAUAAUAUCUUUGCGGGGGGUUGUUCUUGAUUUCUGACAUUGUUUGCAACUAAAGCUGAGACAGGAUAAAAUAAGCUUAUGGAGUUUGUCCUGACCAAAAGAAAAUUCUAACUGGAAAGAUUGAGCUUCCCAACUUUGUAACUGUAUCUAGUUCAACACUUCAUUAGGAUGUUAUGAUUUUGAUCUUACAAAUCUGUUAUACUCUGUUCUACUGUGAAUUGAUGCAUUUGUGUUGGGGCUUACAUAGCAAAUUUCAAUUGUCAAAUGUCUCACUCCACAGGACUAGCCCUGAAACCUGGUUCAUAAUAUGUCAACUGUUGGCCUCUUGGCAAGAGCAGCCUUUAUAUUUUUGAUAAGCAGCUUAAAUU